AUCCAGCUGGUGACUCCUAAAUAAGACGAAACGCACGUCCUGGAU
rnacentral:hammerhead_ribozyme from 1 species